GUAUGCUUUUUUUUUCUUUUGUUGUUUAUAGGUUUUGCUUGUGAUUUCUGCUAUUAAUUUCGUUUUUUUUUUAAUUUAUUGAAGAAACUAUAAAAUUCGAGCAUUUUUGUUGGUCAAUUUUAUUGCUUUUAGAAAUUUGUGAGGCUAGUUUUGUUGGGAAUCACGAUUAAUCACUUACCCAUCUGCUAGAUGGUGAUUAAAUCUUUGCCCUUAUUUAUAUUGUGUUUUCGAGAUUUGCUUCCUUAGAAGGCGCAUUUAGAUUGGUACUGCUAGUGUCACUGAGAAUUCUCAAGCUAGUUAAUGUAAUGUGGCGUGGUUCACUGGUUAAAUCAUUAGCUUGUUUCAUUUUUUUCUCCAUGGACUCCAAAAACCUUGCCCCAGUAAGUUUAAAAUGUGGAAGGCAUUUCUGCUUUACCUUACCAACAAUUGCUAGUGAGUAAACAAACCAUUGGAGCAAGCCACCUUAAGUUAGCUAGCUUGCUAGCAUAGCGUUCAAGCCAUUCUCCCAGCAACAAGAGAGAGAGAGAGAGAGAG
rnacentral:misc_RNA from 1 species